UACGGGGGGGGCAAGCGUUGUUCGGAUUUACUGGGCGUAAAGGGCGCGUAGGCGGCGCGACAAGUCACUUGUGAAAUCUCCGGGCUUAACCCGGAGCGGCCAAGUGAUACUGUCGUGCUCGAGUGCGGAAGGGGCCACCGGAAUUCUCGGUGUAGCGGUGAAAUGCGUAGAUAUCGAGAGGAACACCUGCGGCGAAGGCGGGUGGCUGGGCCGACACUGACGCUGAGGCGCGAAAGCCAGGGGAGCGAACGGG
rnacentral:rRNA from 1 species